UUGGCAUGGGCGAAAGCCUGAUCAGCCUGCCGCGUGUGUGAAGAAGGCCUUUUGGUUGUAAAGCACUUUAAGCGAGGAGGAGGCUACUUGGAUUAAUACUCUAGGAUAGUGGACGUUACUCGCAGAAUAAGCACCGGCUAACUCUGUGCCAGCAGCCGCGGUAAUACAGAGGGUGCGAGCGUUAAUCGGAUUUACUGGGCGUAAAGCGUGCGUAGGCGGCUUUUUAAGUCGGAUGUGAAAUCCCUGAGCUUAACUUAGGAAUUGCAUUCGAUACUGGGAAGCUAGAGUAUGGGAGAGGAUGGUAGAAUUCCAGGUGUAGCGGUGAAAUGCGUAGAGAUCUGGAGGAAUACCGAUGGCGAAGGCAGCCAUCUGGCCUAAUACUGACGCUGAGGUACGAAAGCAUGGGGAG
rnacentral:rRNA from 1 species